rnacentral:RNase_P_RNA from 1 species
GAGAGCAAACCGCCGAUGGCCCGCGCAAGCGGGAUCAGGUAAGGGUGAAAGGGUGCGGUAAGAGCGCACCGCGCGGCUGGUAACAGUCCGCGGCACGGUAAACUCCACCCGGAGCAAGGCCAAAUAGGGGUUCAUAAGGUACGGCCCGUACUGAACCCGGGUAGGCUGCUUGAGCCAGUGAGCGAUUGCUGGCCUAGAUGAAUGACUGUCCACGACAGAACCCGGCUUAUCGGUCAGUUUCACCU